rnacentral:rRNA from 1 species
AUACUAAGAACUUUCCAGAGAUGGAUUGGUGCCUUCGGGAACUUAGAUACAGGUGCUGCAUGGCUGUCGUCAGCUCGUGUCGUGAGAUGUUGGGUUAAGUCCGCAACGAGCGCAACCCUUUUCCUUAUUUGCCAGCGGGUAAUGCCGGGAACUUUAAGGAUACUGCCAGUGACAAACUGGAGGAAGGCGGGGACGACGUCAAGUCAUCAUGGCCCUUACGGCCAGGGCUACACACGUGCUACAAUGGUCGGUACAAAGGGUUGCUACCUCGCGAGAGGAUGCUAAUCUCAAAAAGCCGAUCGUAGUCCGGAUCGCAGUCUGCAACUCGACUGCGUGAAGUCGGAAUCGCUAGUAAUCGCGGAUCAGAAUGCCGCGGUGAAUACGUUCCCGGGCCUUGUACACACCGCCCGUCACACCAUGGGAGUUUGUUGCACCAGAAGUAGGUAGUCUAACCGCAAGGAGGACGCUUACCACGGUGUGGCCGAUGACUGGGGUGAAGUCGUAACAAGGUAAGCGUAGAUGA